rnacentral:rRNA from 1 species
CCUACGGGAGGCAGCAGUGGGGGAUAUUGCACAAUGGGGGGAACCCUGAUGCAGCGACGCCGCGUGGGUGAAGGAGUGCUUCGGCAUGUUAAGCCCUAUCGGCAUGGAAGAAGCAAGACGGUACCUGACUAAGAAGCCCCGGCUAACUACGUGCCAGCAGCCGCGGUAAUACGUCGGGGGCGAGCGUUAGCCGGAUUGACUGGGGGUAAAGGGGGCGUAGGGGGCCAUGAAAGACAGGGGGGAAAGCCGGGGGCCCAACCCCGGGACUGCCGUUGAAACGGGCUGGCUGGAGUGCAGCAGGGGCAGGCGGAAUUCGUGGUGUAGCGGUGAAAUGCGUAGAUAUCACGAGGAACACCGACGGCGAAGGCAGCCUGCUGGACUGUGACUGACGUUGAGGCUCGAAAGCGUGGGGAGCGAACAGGAUUAGAUACCCCAGUAGUC